CCUUCCUUUGAAAGAAGAAAAAAGUAGAAAAAAAGGGGAAAAGGAAAGAGAGAGAGAUACGGUUCUUCAUAGAAAAAUCAUGAUGUACGAAGAUCUAACUGUUCAAACUCAAAUCUGAUUUCAGAAACGUGAUCUACAAAGCCCGAUCUACGUUUCUACCGAUUGGUUUGAGGAUUUGUUGUGAGGAGCUUGCUAAACACCCUCCAAGUGUUGGAUUUACAUUUGGUGAAAUUUUUGUGACGCAUUGCAAGGAGGUGUCUAGGAGACCUAGUGCUUAAUAUUCACGC